CGGUACGUGGAGAACCUGCCGUAUACUGGGGGAUAACACUUAGAAAUAGGUGCUAAUACCGCAUAAGCGCACAGCUUCGCAUGAAGCAGUGUGGAAAACAAAAAGCUAAAGCUUUUGGUGGUAUACGAUGGAUCCGCGUCUGAUUAGCUAGUUGGCGGGGUAAAGGCCCACCAAGGCGACGAUCAGUAGCCGGCCUGAGAGGGUGAACGGCCACAUUGGGACUGAGACACGGCCCAAACUCCUACGGGAGGCAGCAG
rnacentral:rRNA from 1 species